rnacentral:lncRNA from 13 species
UGCAUUUGCCUAAGAUUGCCAAGUUUAAGUGGAAAGAAGCACUGUAUGUGUGUGUGAGAGUGUGUGUGUGUGUGUGUGUAUGUGUAUGUGUGUGUGUGAGUGCAGGGAGAGAGAGAAAAAGAAACCAAAACACAGAUGCACACACAGAGAGAAGAGAGACAGAGAGUGCAAAAAAAAGGUCUUGAGGAUGCCUGAGGUUCAGGGGGCCAGCUACGAUCUCCCGGAAUUAUUAAAGACAACUCCUGCAGCUCUGCCUCAUUACCUGUACGAAGGCCACCACAAACUUGUACUUAGUGAGCCUUACUAUACGUAGAAAGGACACGGUGACAUGUAAUGGACAUGGAUGAAUCUGGAGAACAUCAUCCUCAGCAAACUGACACAAGAACAGAAAACGAAACACCGCAUAUUCUCACUCAUAGGUGGGUGAUGAAAAAUGAGAAUGCAUGGACACAGAGAGAAGAGUACUAAACACUGGGGUCUAUUGGGGGGAAAUGGGGAGGGCCAGUGGGAGGGGGAGGUGGGGAGGGAUAGCCUGGGGAGAAAUGCCAAAUGUGGGUGAAGGGGAGAAAGAAAGCAAAACACACUGCCAUGUGUGUACCUAUGCAACUGUCUUGCAU